rnacentral:rRNA from 1 species
ACAUGCUUACAACAUAGUGUUAAUGCAACAAAUCCCAUUAGAAAUCUGCAGUUAAGCACGAUUGGGAUAGAGUAGUACUGGGAUGGGUGGCCUGCUAGGAAGUCCUAGUGUUUUACAUGCC